rnacentral:lncRNA from 1 species
UCAAUUUUAUUUUCAACCCGGCAUAACAAUACCACCUCGAGAGUAAUUAUUCUUUUGAAAGAAUAAUAUAUACUAAUAAAAUAUACUGGCCGGAUACUACCUCCAUAUAUUUGAGUGGCUGAUGACUUCGUCUCUUCAAAUGUCCCAUUGUAGAUGAAUUACGAAUAGCACUUAUCCUUCACGCACGCAAAGGAGAGGAUUCAUCAGCCAUCCAUCCACGCACACAACCCAAGCACGGAGGACGCGACAUCCGGCAGAGGACUCACGUAGCCGAGGGAGACUCACGCAUCAGCCGAACACGAGGUGAGUCAGAGCAGCGCAUCAGCAAGAGUCGGGCGCACGGCAGAGGCGAAGCGAGGCGGGCUGAGUUUGCCACGGUGGCGGCGAGCGUGACGGAGCGAGGCCAUGGCAUCGGAUCGAGCUGGGCAGCCGGUUUGAAGCAGGCGAGGUGCGGCCAUGGCAGGGACACGGCCUGGGGUGAAGCGAGCCACGACAGCAUGAAGUCGAGCGGCCGGCGGCUCGUACGCUGUGAGCAAGGCGAGGCAGGAGCUGGGUGCGCAGCGCAGGCGAGGUGGAGCUGAGCGACGGCGGCAGAUGCGGGGGUUCGAGGCCGAGCCGGCCGCGGCAAGGCGAAGGUGGGCGCAGCGGCCCGAGGCUGAGCCGGCCGUCCGGGGUGGAGAGUGAGCGGAGCUACACCACAACAACGGCCUGAAUCGAUGGGCGUGGCGAGGCAGGCGCGGAACGAGGCCAAGGUGCGGAGAGGCGAGGCGGACUUGGACCGUGGUCGAUCUGUUUUCUGGAUCGUGGGAUUCGUGGCCUUCUCUUCCUUUUCUUUUCUUUGUAAUUAACCUUUUCUUCUACUGCUCUUUAUUUUUGGACACGGAAGUGCUAGAUGUACUGAUGUGCGAGAAUAGAUCGGAAAAUCAAGGCUCCUCCACCAUCGUGUGUUGCCUUGAUGGAUGUCUUAUGAUUUUCCCGGGUAAGGACGUAGCGGAACACAGCUUGAUGGAUCGCUAGCAGCCGCCAAGAAAAGUUGAUCGCGUUCACCCGAAUCCCUGUUGGUCUCUCCGAACUUGCGGCCAGGUCUAUUGGACGAUUGUUCCGUCCGUCUUGGCGAUUUUCACGGUGGCGGCGGCUCUGCCCAAGGUUAUCCCAUGCCGGGUUAUCCUGCACCAUUGUUUUGUGUCGGCUUUCCUUCAUCCAACCAAAUGUAAUCUUUUUUAUCCCUAAAAAUUU